rnacentral:rRNA from 1 species
AUUGAGCGCUGGCGGCAUGCCUUACACAUGCAAGUCGAACAGUAACAGGUUAAGCUGACGAGUGGCGAACGGGUGAGUAAUGUAUCGGAACGUGCCCAGUCGUGGGGGAUAACGUAGCGAAAGCUACGCUAAUACCGCAUACGAUCUACGGAUGAAAGCGGGGGAUCGCAAGACCUAGCGCGAUUGGAGCGGCCGAUAUCAGAUUAGGUUGUUGGUGAGGUAAAAGCUCACCAAGCCUGCGAUCUGUAGCUGGUCUGAGAGGACGACUAGCCACACUGGAACUGAGACACGGUCCAGACUCCUACGGGAGGCAGCAGUGGGGAAUUUUGGACAAUGGACGCAAGUCUGAUCCAGCAAUGCCGCGUGCAGGACGAAGGCCUUCGGGUUGUAAACUGCUUUUGUACGGAACGAAACGGUGAGCUCUAAUACAGUUUGCUAAUGACGGUACCGUAAGAAUAAGCACCGGCUAACUACGUGCCAGCCGCCGCCGUAA